rnacentral:rRNA from 1 species
GCCAGAACCAAGAGAUCCGUUGUUGAAAGUUGUAACUAUUAUAGUUUUUCUGACGCUGAUUGCAAUUACAAAAGGUUUUGAAGUGUCCUAUCGGCGGGCGAACCCGCCGAGGAAACAUACAGUACGCAAAAGACAAAGGGUUGAACAGCAUGGGAAGGGGGCUUUUAUACCCCCAUCCCAGGACUGUAAAAUUGAUAAUGAUCCUUCCGUAGGUGAACCUGCGGAAGGAUCAUUAUCAAUUUUACAGUCCUGGGAUGGGGGUAUAAAAGCCCCCUUCCCAUGCUGUUCAACCCUUUGUCUUUUGCGUACUGUAUGUUUCCUCGGCGGGUUCGCCCGCCGAUAGGACACUUCAAAACCUUUUGUAAUUGCAAUCAGCGUCAGAAAAACUAUAAUAGUUACAACUUUCAACAACGGAUCUCUUGGUUCUGGCAUCGAUGAAGAACGCAGCGAAAUGCGAAAAGUAGUGUGAAUUGCAGAAUUCAGUGAAUCAUCGAAUCUUUGAACGCACAUUGCGCCCCUUGGUAUUCCAUGGGGCAUGCCUGUUCGAGCGUCAUUUGUACCCUCAAGCUCUGCUUGGUGUUGGGUGUUUGUCCCGCCUUCGCGCGUGGACUCGCCUUAAAGUGAUUGGCAGCCGGAAUAAUUCUGGGGAACGCAGCACAACUGCAGCCUCCAUUUUACGCCGAGCGUCCAGUAAGCCUUUUUUCAACGUUUGACCUCGGAUCAGGUAGGGAUACCCGCUGAACUUAAGCAUAUCAAUAA